GGACUACCGUCCUGACCAGAACUCUGCCCUACCCGUAGGUACCGGGCCGCUGUCACUCACAGCUGACUGCACCUGCCCAAUGGGCCCAGGCUCCAUAGUCCACAAAUGGUCUAGGCACGGGUCGUCCCCAAGCACUACCCGUCGUCGUCGUCCUACACGACAUACUCUACCGAGUCACACGUACCAAUAUUGGCUCCUAUGCACCUAGUGCGAGUCACCAGUCCCACGAGUGAUCCAUGGCACGCUUCACACCUAGCAAUGCUCAAGUGCUACUGCCAAUACACUCUCUCAACUGAAUCCACAUCCGCACUCUACGGGUAUCUACACUCGAGCGCUCUACGCCUCUACAGCGUUCCACACGAUGUCCAGCAUUAGGCAAUCUUGCCUAUGCACACCGGCCGCACGAGCACAACCGCCUACCUCACCUUGAGGUACUACUAGGCCCAUGUGCUCAAACUUGGCCACUAAUCGACCGUUCUCUCAACAGUGAUGCCACUUUCGCUGUUCGAUCUACCGGAAUGACAUACAAUAUUUUCGGGCCACUCGGGUAUUCUCAUAAGCAUCAUGGCUCAACUCUCGCAAUUUACAACUCAUAUUGCUCUGAGAGUUAUUUCGCCACUUCUAUCUCUACCGCAAGUCUCACUUCUCAUCAUAGAUUACUUCUAGCACUUCGCUAGUGCCAUCUAGCUCUAUAUACCUGUACUGGCAGGUACUGCGCCCUUACAUAAUACAAAACUUCAUUUCUAGAGCAAUCAAAUCUAUCUCUAGAAAUCCACCAUGAGAGAGAGCUUAGAAGCUUACCUCUCCAAGAAGCUCCAACCAAGGAGAAGAUGAAGAAGAUGAGGAAGACCUCCUUCUUCUUCUCUUUCUUUCCUUUCCUUUCUUCUUCCUCUUCUUGUCUUCUAGAGAGAGAAAGAAAGAUAUGAGAGGGUGUGUGGGUGAGAAAUGAGAGAAAAGAGCUCUCAUACCCCCCACAUAGCCCCACAUGUUGCAUAAGUGCAAACAAGCCCAUCAACUUUUAUUCUUCUACAUUGCCUUCACUGGGCAUUUUCGGGCUGGGGGGACCGGUCUCUCCUUCAGGGACCGGUUCCCGUAGCUCCUCCCCGCGGUCAACAGGGCUCCCACGCGCAAUGCGACCGGUCUCUCUUUGGGGGACCGGUCUCUCGGGGACCGGUCUCUCCAGCAGGGACCGAUCUCCGAGAGCAGAAAAUCUGCAGUUUGCAGACUUUCAAAUCCCUAGCUCUCGAAGAUCCCCAAUGAUGCACCUUUACUCCUUUUGACGCCUUCGGCCUUACUGAAGCAUACCAACCUCACACUUUAGUCAAUUUGACCAAAAGUGAUCUAACACAACAAGGAUUCCGUUAAUUUCUCAAAGGUCAUGAGAGCUACCAAAACUCGCGAAGUUCUAAGUCUCCGCUCGUCUCAAACUGCCUAGGGACACCACUCAUCCCAUACCGCGCCGAUCUAGAUGAAGAUCGCCUACGCGGUGCUAUUGCUUCCUAAGACACGACAACUCGGUCGAUUCUCGACCCUCAAGGUCGAGCGCGAAACAAUUGACACCGACUCGAAUCGGGCGAAAGUCAUGCAAUGGUGUCUAUUCUCAUCACUUCAUUUCAUGUUGUGUAUACCCAACAUGAACACCCUCGGUUGAGAAUAAACCACACCUCGAGUCUACCUCUAACAUCCGUUUUAGAGGUUUACUAACCUGACCUAAUCGAUCAAUCUUUCGCCAUAAGUCAUAAAUCCUCGUCUCUCACGAGCCUUAAUCUCUUAUGGUUUGCUAUCCUAGGGUCUCCUAGGUCCAGCUAUACCAUUUUCUAUUAUUCUUUUUAUAUUCUUUUUAUGCUCUAAUACCAUCUUAUCUGUCACGCCCCGCGACCGCCCGCCUAUUUGGCCGGGUCGCGGCGCCGCCGACAGACCGCCGAAUGGACAGGGUUUCCCCUGUACCGCGGACAGAGUCUCCCUUGUACAUUCAAGGCGUCGCAAUCAAUACAAUGUACAAAGUUCCAACCAGGAACACAUUUCAAUCAAAGAUUGCAUAAGGAAGUAUCAAAAACAUAAUCUACUUGCUAUUAUAAGCAUUCACAUUCACUAGAUAUAUUUUACAUCACAAUUUCGUUUUGCAUUUAACUUUCAAAUACAAUCAUACUUUUAUUACAAAUUAAUACAAUCUUAUUCCCUAAGUAAAGGCCGACUCAGGGUACCGCUAUCUCUGGUCUAGGUGGUAGGGUGCUAACUAUGGAGCUAUGCCCUCGCCUCGCGCCGCCGCGCCGCUCACGUGUGAAACUGUAACACCCCAAAACCACGUGGGGAGAACCAACUC
rnacentral:lncRNA from 1 species